GAUGAACGCUGGCGAGAUGCUUUACACAUGCAAGUCGUACGAGAGUUUUAAACUCAAGUGGCGGACGGGUGAGUAACACGUAAGAAUUUACCUUUAGGAGGGGGACAACAGACAGAAAUGACUGCUAAUACCCCAUAUGCUUUCGAGUGAAAUGGAUUUUUCCGCCUAGAGAGAAGCUUGCGGCUGAUUAGCUUGUUGGUAAGGUAAUGGCUUACCAAGGCGACGAUCAGUAUCUGGUUUGAGAGGAUGAUCAGACACACUGGAACUGAGACACGGUCCAGACUCCUACGGGAGGCAGCAGUGGGAAUUUUCCGCAAUGGGCGAAAGCCUGACGGAGCAAUCUCGCGUGAGGGAUGACUGCCUAUGGUUGUAACCUCUUUUUCAGGUAGGAUAAUGACGUGUACCUGAAGAUAAGCAUCGGCUAACUCCGUGCCAGCCGCCGCGGUAAU
rnacentral:rRNA from 1 species